rnacentral:lncRNA from 1 species
UUGGAUAGGAUUUGAUUUAGGAUUUAAGGUUUGGAUUAGGAUUUGAUUUAGGAUUUAGGGUUUGGAUAGGAUUUGAUUUAGGGUUUAGGGUUUGGUUUAGGAUUUAGGAUUUGUCUAGGGUUUGAUUAAGGUUAGAUUAGGAUUAGGAUUUGGUUAGAAUUUAAGGUUCUAUUAGAUUUUGUUAGGAUUUGACUAAGUUUUCUUUAAUAUUCUUUUAUAUUUCUUUAGGAUUUCCUUGUGUUUCUUUUAUAACUUCAAUAAAAUUUAAUUGAGCUUGCUUAAUAUUUGAUUAUGAUUGUUAACGUUUA